UUGCAACUCGCAUGCAAGAAGUUGGAAUCGCUAGUAAUCGCGGAUCAGCAUGCCGCGGUGAAUACGUUCCCGGGCCUUGUACACACCGCCCGUCACACCAUGAGAGUUUGUAACACCCAAAGUUGGUGGGCGUAACCUUUUAGGAGCCAGCCGCCUAAGGUGGGACAGAUGAUUAGGGUGAAGUCGUAAUUC
rnacentral:rRNA from 1 species